GUGCUAUACAUGCAAGUCGAACGCUUCUUUUCCCACCGGAGCUUGCUCCACCGGGAAAAGAGGAGUGGCGAACGGGUGAGUAACACGUGGGUAACCUGCCCAUCAGAAGGGGAUAACACUUGGAAACAGGUGCUAAUACCGUAUAACAAUCGAAACCGCAUGGUUUCGUUUUGAAAGGCGCUUUACGGUGCCGCUGAUGGAUGGACCCGCGGUGCAUUAGCUAGUUGGUGAGGUAACGGCUCACCAAGGCCACGAUGCAUAGCCGACCUGAGAGGGUGAUCGGCCACAUUGGGACUGAGACACGGCCCAAACUCCUACGGGAGGCAGCAGUAGGGAAUCUUCGGCAAUGGACGAAAGUCUGACCGAGCAACGCCGCGUGAGUGAAGAAGGUUUUCGGAUCGUAAAACUCUGUUGUUAGAGAAGAACAAGGGUGAGAGUAACUGUUCACCCCUUGACGGUAUCUAACCAGAAAGCCACGGCUAACUACGUGCCAGCAGCCGCGGUAAUACGUAGGUGGCAAGCGUUGUCCGGAUUUAUUGGGCGUAAAGCGAGCGCAGGCGGUUUCUUAAGUCUGAUGUGAAAGCCCCCGGCUCAACCGGGGAGGGUCAUUGGAAACUGGGAGACUUGAGUGCAGAAGAGGAGAGUGGAAUUCCAUGUGUAGCGGUGAAAUGCGUAGAUAUAUGGAGGAACACCAGUGGCGAAGGCGGCUCUCUGGUCUGUAACUGACGCUGAGGCUCGAAAGCGUGGGGAGCAAACAGGAUUAGAUACCCUGGUAGUCCACGCCGUAAACGAUGAGUGCUAAGUGUUGGAGGGUUUCCGCCCUUCAGUGCUGCAGCUAACGCAUUAAGCACUCCGCCUGGGGAGUACGACCGCAAGGUUGAAACUCAAAGGAAUUGACGGGGGCCCGCACAAGCGGUGGAGCAUGUGGUUUAAUUCGAAGCAACGCGAAGAACCUUACCAGGUCUUGACAUCCUUUGACCACUCUAGAGAUAGAGCUUCCCCUUCGGGGGCAAAGUGACAGGUGGUGCAUGGUUGUCGUCAGCUCGUGUCGUGAGAUGUUGGGUUAAGUCCCGCAACGAGCGCAACCCUUAUUGUUAGUUGCCAUCAUUUAGUUGGGCACUCUAGCAAGACUGCCGGUGACAAACCGGAGGAAGGUGGGGAUGACGUCAAAUCAUCAUGCCCCUUAUGACCUGGGCUACACACGUGCUACAAUGGGAAGUACAACGAGUCGCGAAGUCGCGAGGCUAAGCUAAUCUCUUAAAGCUUCUCUCAGUUCGGAUUGUAGGCUGCAACUCGCCUACAUGAAGCCGGAAUCGCUAGUAAUCGCGGAUCAGCACGCCGCGGUGAAUACGUUCCCGGGCCUUGUACACACCGCCCGUCACACCACGAGAGUUUGUAACACCCGAAGUCGGUGAGGUAACCUUUUGGAGCCAGCCGCCUA
rnacentral:rRNA from 1 species